rnacentral:rRNA from 1 species
CGACACUCCUGCGGGAGGCAGCAGUGGGGAAUAUUGGACAAUGGGCGCAAGCCUGAUCCAGCCAUGCCGCGUGAGUGAUGAAGGCCCUAGGGUUGUAAAGCUCUUUCACCGGUGAAGAUAAUGACGGUAACCGGAGAAGAAGCCCCGGCUAACUUCGUGCCAGCAGCCGCGGUAAUACGAAGGGGGCUAGCGUUGUUCGGAUUUACUGGGCGUAAAGCGCACGUAGGCGGACUAUUAAGUCAGGGGUGAAAUCCCGGGGCUCAACCCCGGAACUGCCUUUGAUACUGGUAGUCUUGAGUUCGAGAGAGGUGAGUGGAAUUCCGAGUGUAGAGGUGAAAUUCGUAGAUAUUCGGAGGAACACCAGUGGCGAAGGCGGCUCACUGGCUCGAUACUGACGCUGAGGUGCGAAAGCGUGGGGUGCAAACAGGAUUAGAUACCCCAGUAGUCCC